rnacentral:rRNA from 1 species
UACGUAGGGGGCAAGCGUUAUCCGGAUUUACUGGGUGUAAAGGGGGCGCAGACGGCAGCGCAAGCCAGGAGUGAAAGCCCGGGGCCCAACCCCGGGACUGCUCUUGGAACUGCGCGGCUGGAGUGCAGGAGGGGCAGGCGGAAUUCCUGGUGUAGCGGUGAAAUGCGUAGAUAUCAGGAGGAACACCAGUGGCGAAGGCGGCUUACUGGACUGUAACUGACGUUGAGGCUCGAAAGCGUGGGGAGCAAACAGG